GUUUUUAUUGUGAGUGGCUGCAGCCCAGCAGAAAAACUGAAGCUCUGAGACAAGGCAGGACGGGAAGAACAGUAAGGGCAACCAGCAGGCUGGGCCACACUCCCUCGCGGUUGAUUGUUUGGGCGGCACUCUGGCCCUCACCGCCUUGCUGCGAUCCCAUGGUGGCCUCGUCCUGCAUCUCUGGUACUGUCUCUCCUCUCUGUGCUCUGGGCACCUGCGCUCCUUGCCUGGGGGCCGCCCUCACACUGUCCUCUGCUGACCACCUCCCUGGGAGCCCGGCCCACCCCUGAUGGGAGAAGUGCUACCUGCCUUCCAGUUCCCAGACGAGAUGACAGCUCCUGGGAGACCCGCCCCCCGAUCCAACCCCGGCAGGGCCUGCCCGGUGCUCUGGCACCUCCUGAGCCCUCCUUAAAGUGUCCACCACUAUGUCGUCAGAUACUGACUUAUGGAAUGAUGCUCGCUCACCCUCUCUCUCGCCAGACUGCAUGGUCCUCACCUCCCUAUCCUUCCAGAACCGACCCAAACGCCCCCUCCUCCAGGAAGUCUCCCGGUGCGCCCUCUGAGACAAGUCACCCUCCCCGAGUGCCCACAGCCCCUUGUCACGAUGCUUUCUGCCACACGGCAUUGACUUCAGGAGCAUGUGGCAGCUCCUCUCUGAGCUCGUGAGGCCCUGGAGGACAGGACCAUCACACGCCAGCGUGGGAACAACCUGGGAGAGCCUCUGAUCCCACAGGAGAAUCGCCGACCCGGAACCAGGACCCCGGCGUGGCCUCUGGCUCAGCCAGUCACGUCCCGCGAGGGCCUCGCUGUCCCUCUUGUGGCUCUUCCAGAUCUAAUGUCCUCUGGCUUGUCACCUGGCUCGGCUCGGGGCUGCUGACCCCUCCCCAGCCGGCCUCUCUCCAUGGGCCGUGGGCUCCUGCUCCCUGGGCUUUGUUUUCCAUCUAAAAAUCAAAGGAACAGAGAUGCUGGACGCCGGGCUCACAGGGAAAGCAAAACAAAACAAACCCAUCAGAGUGGGGGGGGGCGGGCUUUUGUUAACUGAACAGCUGGCGCCCGAGUUCCUCAUGGCAGGAAAUGUGACACGGUUUGGAAGAAAAUAUUUUGACAAGUGUUGAGGAGGAAGGUAGGAACUCGAGGGCCCAGGGCCAGAUCCUCGGAGCAAGCGAGGACCCGGCCUGGGAGGGGAGACUCUGCAAGCGGCCGGGGCAUGCAGGACAGCGGGGGGUGAGGAAUACCGGAGAGCAGCAGAAUCAGAGCUCACAUCUACGGGAGCCUUGAUGGGCGCUAAGGAUGGAGGCAACAAUGCUUCGACGUUCCUCGUGGAACUUUCCUUUCCGUCCGCACGUGGGCUGUGGCCCGCCGUGGACCCCCGCGUCCGGCCCCGGCCUGGUGGGCAGCUGCUGCGGCCGUUUCAUCGUCUGAACGAAUGGGAACUCUUCCAGCCAGCAGGGGGUUGAAACAGCAGGGAGGGAAGCCCUGAGGCAUUCAGUUAUCUCAGAACGAAGCCAGUGUGAGGAGAGCAGAACUAGGAAAUGGAACAGGAAAGACUGAACCCUGGAUCCAGCUGCACCUGAAGCUCAUCUCCUGCACUCUUCUGAUAACAUAAGCAAAAAAAAAUCCCUUUGAGCUGUUUCUGUAAUCUGCCACCCAAAGAACUGAAUAAUUAUCUUCAGUCCUACACUCCAGCCCCACCAGCCUGGUUGCAAGUUCUCAGAACAGAUCAGACAGCCCCCACUUCCAGAUUGUUCCUCAAGCCAUAACCUCUGCCAGGAAUGCCAUCCCCACCUCAUGCCUCCUGUUGAAACCCUUCUCUACCCUCCAUUCAAAUGACAUCUACUUCAAGGAGCAUCCUCAUGUGAUAGUCACAUCACUUCCUCAUCACUCCCACACAGACUGAGCCGACUUUGCUUAUGGGCCCAGGUGGUGGUGCUGGGUCAGCACCCUUUUUGUGUGCAUUUGACCCUCUGGGCUGAGCCCAGCACCGUGCUGGGAGCAGGGUCUCAUUUCCCCUUGAGGUGGUAUCUUUGUUGUCUCCAUGCCACAGGGCAGCCUUGACUCAGAGAGGCUGAGAGCCGGGCUCCGGGUCCGAGGGGGGGUGGUCAGGCCCCAGAGCACCAGCCCUGGCCCGCUGUGCUGUGCUGGCCCCUGACUUGUUCACCUAUGGGGGUCUUUGUCCCCCUCUUACUGCGGGGGCCAGUGGGGACGAUGUCAGGGUACAGGAUGAAAGCUCCAGGGUCACUCUGCCUGGGUUCAGAUUCCGGCUGCACUCCCCAGCAGCUGUGUGACCUCAGGCAAGAACUCCUCUGGGGUCCACCUGUCUGUUUUUGUAUUAUUGUGGUAAAACACCCCUCUCACGAAAUGCACCAUCUUGACCAUUUGUAAGUGUCCAGUUCAGCGGCACUAAGUACACUGACAAUGUCGUGCGGCGGUCAUACCAUCCUUCCUCAGAACGCUUUCCUCUUACAAAGUUUACACUCAGUCCCCUUUAAACAAGACCCCCACCACCUCCUCCCCCAGCCCCCGGCCACCACCGUUCCACUCUCUGUCUCCGUGAGUUUAACUCCUCGAGAGGCUUCAUGUGAGUGGCAUCGUGCAAAGUUCGUCCUUUUGUGACUGGCUUAUUUCACUGCAUAUGGGGUCCUCAGAGUUCAUGCAUGUUGUGGCAGGUGUCAGAAUGUCCUUCCUUUUCCAG
ensembl:lncRNA